AACAGCAUGUAAAAAAAACUACAAAGUUUGCUUGGCCAAAAAGAACGUUUAUCUGGCGAUAAAAAAAUUGACAUCGUUAAAAUGGGCUUGUGUUAACACCGUUAAUAACACGUUAAACUGACAGCACUAGUGUGUAUAUAUACAUUUCCA